AUCAGCACGGACUGGUACCAUUUUUGUCUUGAGACAGUCAUCCUCAUCAGUGCUUUGGGAUGCAGGGAUCUAAAGUUAGCAUCCAGAGCCCACGCCAGCCGGGGGUUGCACCAGUCCACACUUGCACCAGCAGUGUAUGAGACUUCUUCCCGCAGCCUUGCCAAAUGCAACGUCAUCCAGCUUUCAGAUCGCUCCGAUCUAUAGUUUAAUUUUUAUUCUCAACACAACCUGGAAUCACCUGAAAAGAGGGAGCUUCAACUGGAGUUGCCGCCAUCAGACUGGCCUUCGGCAUGCCCCUGGACCAUCUUCUUGAUUGCUACAUGGACAUCAGAGGAACCAGCCAGCCCACUGUGCACAGUACCAUCCUUAGGCAGCUGUCUGGGGUGUGUGAAAAAAACUAGUUGGGCAUGAGUUAGUGAGACAAACAGAGAUCCACCCCUCCUUCCUUGAUGGUUUCUGUUUCAGAUUCCUGACUUGAACUCCUGACCUGACUUCCCUAGUGAUGGGCUCUUACCCGGAAGUAUAAGCUAAAAUAAACCUAUCC
ensembl:lncRNA